CCUACGGGAGGCUGCAGUGAGGAAUAUUGGUCAAUGGACGAGAGUCUGAACCAGCCACGUAGCGUGAAGGAUGACUGCCCUAUGGGUUGUAAACUUCUUUUAUAUGGGAAUAAAAUGUUCCACGUGUGGGAUUUUGUAUGUACCAUAUGAAUAAGGAUCGGCUAACUCCGUGCCAGCAGCCGCGGUAAUACGGAGGAUCCGAUCGUUAUCCGGAUUUAUUGGGUUUAAAGGGAGCGUAGGUGGAUUGUUAAGUCAGUUGUGAAAGUUUGCGGCUCAACCGUAAAAUUGCAGUUGAAACUGGCAGUCUUGAGUACGGUAGAGGUGGGCGGAAUUCGUGGUGUAGCGGUGAAAUGCUUAGAUAUCACGAAGAACUCCGAUUGCGAAGGUAGUUUACUGGACUGCAACUGACACUGAGGCUCGAAAGUGUGGGUAUCAAACAGGAUUAGAUACCCUUGUAGUC
rnacentral:rRNA from 1 species